AGAGAGGUGCAAACAGGGGUGCAUCUUUUAAAGGAGAAGCAGGAAAUAGUUGAGAGUCAGCUGCAACUUACAAAGCUGCAAGUAUCUAAGGGAGGCCAGCAACAAUCAGAAACCCAAAACUCUGGGCACAUGGACACUGUGCAGCAAGCAGCAUCUGCCCCUCCACAAUCUCAUCAGCAGCUGCAACAAGCAGCAUCUGCCCCUCCACAGUCUCACCAACAGCUUCCUCCCAUCACUUUUCCGCAGUCCAUUCCUCCUGUUCCUGUUCCUCCUCCUGCUGUC
rnacentral:misc_RNA from 1 species